CGAAAGUGCCUUCCCGGACUAUGGACAAAUGCGGCCUCAGCACUCGUAUUGUCCCAGUUCAGAAGGCAUUUUCGCUGUUCACACGCCGAUCAAAUCACCGGAACCAUCCACGGAUUUAG
rfam:Mycobacterium xenopi 3993 GMX3993.contig.27, whole genome shotgun sequence.